GACAGAGGAUGCAAGCGUUAUCCGGAAUGAUUGGGCGUAAAGCGUCUGUAGGUGGCUUUUCAAGUCCGCCGUCAAAUCCCAGGGCUCAACCCUGGACAGGCGGUGGAAACUGCCAAGCUGGAGUACGGUAGGGGCAGAGGGAAUUUCCGGUGGAGCGGUGAAAUGCGUAGAGAUCGGGAAGAACAUCAGUGGCGAAGGCGACACGCUGGGCCGUACCUGACACUGAUGCGCGACAGCAUGGGGAGCAAACAGG
rnacentral:rRNA from 1 species